AGAGUUUGAUCAUGGCUCAGAUUGAACGCUAGCGGGAUGCCUUACACAUGCAAGUCGAACGGCAGCGCGGACUUCGGUCUGGCGGCGAGUGGCGAACGGGUGAGUAAUGUAUCGGAACGUGCCCAGUAGCGGGGGACAACCACUCGAAAGAGUGGCUAAUACCGCAUACGCCCUACGGGGAAAGGGGGGGAUCGCAAGACCUCUCACUAUUGGAGCGGCCGAUAUCGGAUUAGCUAGUUGGUGGGGUAAAGGCCUACCAAGGCGACGAUCCGUAGCUGGUUUGAGAGGACGACCAGCCACACUGGGACUGAGACACGGCCCAGACUCCUACGGGAGGCAGCAGUGGGGAAUUUUGGACAAUGGGGGAAACCCUGAUCCAGCCAUUCCGCGUGUGCGAUGAAGGCCUUCGGGUUGUAAAGCACUUUUGGCAGGAAAGAAAUCGUGUGGGUUAAUACCCUGCGCGGAUGACGGUACCUGCAGAAUAAGCACCGGCUAACUACGUG
rnacentral:rRNA from 1 species